AGAGUUUGAUCAUGGCUCAGAUAGAACGCUAGCGGGAUGCUUUACACAUGCAAGUCGAACGGCAGCACGAGAAGAGCUUGCUUUUUUUGGUGGCGAGUGGCGAACGGGUGAGUAAUGUAUCGGAACGUACCCAGUAGCGGGGGAUAACUACGCGAAAGCGUGGCUAAUACCGCAUACGCCCUACGGGGGAAAGGGGGGGAUUCUUCGGAACCUCUCACUAUUGGAGCGGCCGAUAUCGGAUUAGCUAGUUGGUGAGGUAAAGGCUCACCAAGGCUGCGAUCCGUAGCUGGUUUGAGAGGACGACCAGCCACACUGGGACUGAGACACGGCCCAGACUCCUACGGGAGGCAGCAGUGGGGAAUUUUGGACAAUGUGGUCAACCCUGAUCCAGCCAUCCCGCGUGUGCGAUGAAGGCCUUCUGGUUGUAAAGCACUUUUGGCAGGGAAGAGAGGGCGCUGGUUAAUACCUGGCGUUGAUGACGGUACCUGCAUAAUACGCACCGGCUAAGUACUUGUCAGCAUCCGCGGUAAUACGUGAGGUGCAAGCGUUAAUCGGAAUUACUGGGCGUUAAGGGUGCGUCGGCGGAUUGGUGAAGAUAGGUGUGAAAUCCCAGGGCUUAACCUUGGGAACUGCACUUUUAACUGCCAGGCUAGAGUACGUCAGAGGGUGUAGAAUUCCACGUGUAGCCGUGAUAUUGCGUAGAGAUGUCGGAGGCAUUACCCGAUGGCCAAUGCAGCCCCCCUGAGAUGAAACUGACAUUCAGGAACGAAAGCGUGGGCUAGCAUACAGGAUUAAGAUUCCCUAGGUAAUCCACGGCCUAUACGACGUCAACUAUUUGUU
rnacentral:rRNA from 1 species